AUCCCUCGCGGAUGUCAGCUGAGGACAUAUCUGAUGAGGCAGUGGAAGAAUUGCUUGGCCGCUUCUUCAAGAACUUCGAAGGAGUACUGAAGGUUGAUGAAACCAUCCAAGCUUACGACAACUGGCACAAGCCUAGAGAGGUAAUUCACCCACUCGUGUUCUUUUUGAGUACUCAAUAUUGGUAAAUGUCUUGUUUCCCAACUAGUAGUUCCUUAUGCACGAAGAUAUUCUUUUGUAUUUCUCUCCUCCUCCUCCUCCUCCCC
rnacentral:lncRNA from 1 species